UACGUAGGGGGGCAAGCGUUGUCCGGAUUUAUUGGGCGUAAAGAGCUCGUAGGCGGCUUGUCGCGUCGACUGUGAAAACCCGUGGCUCAACCAUGUGGUCUGCAGUCGAUACGGGCAGGCUAGAAUUCGGUAGGGGAGACUGGAAUUCCUGGUGUAGCGGUGAAAUGCGCAGAUAUCAGGAGGAACACCGGUGGCGAAGGCGGGUCUCUGGGCCGAUAUUGACGCUGAGGAGCGAAAGCGUGGGGAGCGAACAGG
rnacentral:rRNA from 1 species